UCCGAGUUGUCCCCGGCGGUCCCCUUAGAGUCCCCGGCAUUACCCGCUGGCAACUAAGAGCAGGGGUUGCGCUCGUUGCGGCACUUAAGCCAACACCUCACGGCACGAGCUGACGACAGCCAUGCAGCACCUGUGCAGGGCCCCGAAGGACACGGGCUUUCACCCGCUUUACCCUGCAUGUCAAGCCCAGGUAAGGUGGGGAUGACGUUGCACGCAAUAACA
rnacentral:misc_RNA from 1 species